GUGGGGAAUCUUGUGCAAUGGGCGAAAGCCUGACGCAGCCAUGCCGCGUGAAUGAUGAAGGUCUUAGGAUUGUAAAAUUCUUUCACCGGGGACGAUAAUGACGGUACCCGGAGAAGAAGCCCCGGCUAACUUCGUGCCAGCAGCCGCGGUAAUACGAAGGGGGCUAGCGUUGCUCGGAAUUACUGGGCGUAAAGGGCGCGUAGGCGGACAGUUUAGUCAGAGGUGAAAGCCCAGGGCUCAACCUUGGAAUUGCCUUUGAUACUGGCUGUCUUGAGUACGGGAGAGGUGAGUGGAACUCCGAGUGUAGAGGUGAAAUUCGUAGAUAUUCGGAAGAACACCAGUGGCGAAGGCGACUCACUGGCCCGUUACUGACGCUGAGGCGCGAAAGCGUGGGGAGCAAACAGGAUUAGAUACCCUGGUAGUCC
rnacentral:rRNA from 1 species